rnacentral:rRNA from 1 species
UACGUAGGGGGCAAGCGUUGUCCGGAUUUAUUGGGCGUAAAGAGCGUGUAGGCGGCCAGACAGGUCCGUUGUGAAAACUAGAGGCUUAACCUCUAGACGUCGAUGGAAACCGUCUGGCUAGAGUCCGGAAGAGGAGAGUGGAAUUCCUGGUGUAGCGGUGAAAUGCGCAGAUAUCAGGAAGAACACCCGUGGCGAAAGCGGCUCUCUGGAACGGUACUGACGCUGAGACGCGAAAGCGUGGGGAGCGAACAGG